AGAGCCUCGGCGCAACGUCGUAGUCCGCCGUCGGUCUAAGUGCUUCGCAGUCGCCGUCCCGAAGAAAACUGGGCCACUCCAGUUUGGGGCGGGGGCGAUGCUACUGAGACGAUGCCUCGCGCCAAGCCAAUUAGUCGCGUGCACGGUCGCUUAUCACGCAACUGCUCGUACGGCGCACGCGCGCAGGCGGUUACGCCAGCCAGCCUUGUCUAUAAGUAGCCCCGUGCUUGGGCGAAGGACUUGGUAGGGCGUCGUACUCGGUUGGCCGGUGGGUUUGCCGAACGUUUCCUUUUUCUUCUUCUCCGCACAGAACGAGAAACACGGUCGCUUAUCACGCAACUGCUCGUACGGCGCACGCGCGCAGGCGGUUACGCCAGCCAGCCUUGUCUAUAAGUAGCCCCGUGCUUGGGCGAAGGACUUGGUAGGGCGUCGUACUCGGUUGGUCGGUGGGUUUGCCGAACGUGUCUCGUCAAAGAAAGCGAAAAGCGCGGUCUCUUAUCACGCAACUGCUCGU
rnacentral:rRNA from 1 species